rnacentral:rRNA from 1 species
UACGGAGGGUGCAAGCGUUAUCCGGAAUCAUUGGGUUUAAAGGGUCCGCAGGCGGUCUUAUAAGUCAGUGGUGAAAGCCUACAGCUCAACCGUAGAACUGCCAUUGAUACUGUAAGACUUGAAUUCGAUCGAAGUGGGCGGAAUAUGACAUGUAGCGGUGAAAUGCUUAGAUAUGUCAUAGAACACCGAUAGCGAAGGCAGCUCACUAGGUCUGGAUUGACGCUCAGGGACGAAAGCGUGGGGAGCAAACAGG